rnacentral:tRNA from 1 species
UCCCUGGUGGUCGAGUGGUUAAGAAUCUGCCUUCCCAAUGCAGGGGAUACAGGUUUGAUCCCUGAUGGGGGAA